ensembl:lncRNA
GCCCAGGCCUCGGUUCGGAGUCCCGCUCCCCGCGCUGGUGACUCGGAUGGCCGGCCCAAGGCAUGGGAAUGCACCGGCACUCAAUUUGAAGACCUUUAUCAAACCACCCAGUGCAGCUCCAGCUUUGGUUCCAAUCACACACCCAGGUAUUCAUUGUGUUUAAUUGCUUUAUGCUGGUUUUGCAAAGCUUGGGUUUUGCCUCUGGGCUGAUCCAGCAGCUGUCUGCGCCUCACUUCAGACCCAGCCUGGUAUCUGCUUUCAUCUCAUCUUAUUGCUCCUGCCACAAAUGGAGCUGUAACUCAUUCCGAGUGCCGUGUACAAAUGAGCGCUUCCACCUGGUAUAACUGCAUGGAAAGGGUUAAACCAUCUUUUUCUAAGUAUGAUAAAGCAACACUGAAAUGCCAGGGAAAGUUUUGUGCGG